UGACAGAACUAAGUAUGUAGAACUCUCUGUGGAGGGCUUGCGGACGCGGGUUCGAUUCCCGCCGGCUCCACCA
rnacentral:tmRNA from 1 species